GAUGAACGCUGGCGGCGUGCCUAAUACAUGCAAGUCGAGCGAACGGACGAGAAGCUUGCUUCUCUGAUGUUAGCGGCGGACGGGUGAGUAACACGUGGAUAACCUACCUAUAAGACUGGGAUAACUUCGGGAAACCGGAGCUAAUACCGGAUAAUAUUUUGAACCGCAUGGUUCAAAAGUGAAAGACGGUCUUGCUGUCACUUAUAGAUGGAUCCGCGCUGCAUUAGCUAGUUGGUAAGGUAACGGCUUACCAAGGCAACGAUGCAUAGCCGACCUGAGAGGGUGAUCGGCCACACGGGAACUGAGACACGGUCCAGACGCCUACGGGAGGAAGCAGUAGGGAAUCUUCCGCGAGGGGCGAGAGCCUGACGGAGCAACGCCGCGUGAGUGAUGAAGGUCUUCGGAUCGUAAAACGCUGUUAGUAGGGAAGAACAUAUGUGUAAGUACCUGUGCACAUCUUGACGGUACCUAAUCAGAAAGCCACGGCUAACUACGUG
rnacentral:rRNA from 1 species